GUGCUACAACUCAUCAUCGUGGCAACAGACUCCUCCCUCAUUCUAUCGUCCCUAGCAGACCCCCUCCCUUGAACUUUAUGGUAAUGCUAUCUCAUUAAACAAAGCAGGAGGAGGAGGAGGGGGAGGGAGUGGAGGUAGCAGGAAAUCAUCAGCUAGGAGGAGACCAAUGGGACAGGCUUAUAAUAACUACAGGUAUACAGUGUCUCAUCCAGGACUAUCAGUUCAAGGACUCUCAGUUAAUGAUAGAGUUAAACAUUUGAAGCAUCUCUCAACAGCUUCAAACUUGUCUACAUCAUAACUAACUGUACAUGUAUGUGUUCAAUAAUAUUAUUUUCCAUUAUAAUUAUACACCUGCACCCACACACAACUAAACAUACUCAUGUGUUAUAAA
rnacentral:lncRNA from 1 species